AGUGUAGGCGGCUGCGUCAGUCGGAUGUGAAAGCCCUGGGCUUAACCUGGGAAUUGCAUUCGAUACUGCGCAGCUAGAGUCUGAUAGAGGGAAGUGGAAUUCCAGGUGUAGCGGUGAAAUGCGUAGAGAUCUGGAGGAACACCAGUGGCGAAGGCGGCUUCCUGGAUCAAGACUGACGCUGAGGCUCGAAAGCGUGGGAGCAAACA
rnacentral:rRNA from 1 species